rnacentral:lncRNA from 1 species
AAACACAUAAGGUUUCCAUACCCCGUCCGGUAUGAGAAACCACGUUCCCGGUAGGGUUCCCUACGGACCCGGUCUGUCCACCAUCUCCUAGGAUAUCUAGUCAGGCUGUCCACAUUUUCCACUUAUCAAUUCACAUAACCUUUUUGCCUUUUUCCUUAAUCUCAAUAAUCCAAUCAUACACAACAUGUAAACCAGUAAUUGACACCAAACAAGACAACACAGUAUCGGGUUCACCAUAAUACAAACUAUAAUAAAAGAAAGCAUGAUUCAUGCAUAUGAGACCAUAACAUAAUUACAUCAAACAUCAUACUGCAUUUAAUACUGAAAAUUAAAUCAAACAACAACAGACCAACACUGUAUCAGACUCGGGCUCCAUUGGCAACCUCAAUCAAUUAUACAUCUAUAAAGUCUCAAAAUACUGUUUAAUUACUUAUUA